rnacentral:rRNA from 1 species
GUUUAACAAAAACAUGUCUUUAUGAUUAUAAUUUAAAGUCUGGCCUGCCCAAUGAAUAAUUUAAUGGCCGCGGUAUAUUGACUGUGCAAAGGUAGCAUAAUCAUUAGUUUUUUAAUUGAAAGCUGGAAUGAAAGGUUGGAUGAAAAAAUAACUGUCUCUAUUUAAAUUGAUUAGAAUUUUAUUUUUAAGUAAAAAAGCUUAAAUAAAAAUAAAAGACGAGAAGACCCUAUAGAGUUUUAUAUUUUUUUAAAAAUAUAAUUUUUAGGAUUUUAAUUUUAAAUUUUUAAAGAGUAUUUAAUUGGGGUGAUUGAAAAAUUAGAAAAACUUUUUUUGUAUUUUUACAUUUAUUUAUGAUAAUAUGAUCCUCGGAUUGAGAUUAUAAGAUAAAAUUACCUUAGGGAUAACAGCGUAAUUUUUUUCAAGAGUUCUAAUCGAAAAAAAAGAUUGCGACCUCGAUGUUGGAUUAAA